CGGCUGAGGCCAACACAAUGGAUUCACCCCCCCCCCCCGGAGGCAAUGUGCAAGAUCAACGUAGAUGGUGCAGUUUCUCAGAACAGGAGGAGGGGAGCUGCAGCGGCAUUAUGCAGAGACCACGCUGGAAAUUUUCUGGGGGCUUCGGCUAUACUUGUGAGGGGUGUUUAUGACCCACCGACACUAGAAGCCCUUGCUAUUCGGGAGGCUCUAGCCCUGGCCGAAGAUCUGAAUUUGCAGAGACUACACGUUGCAUCAGAUUACAAAGUGGUGAUCGAGGACAUGAAGGAGCAAAACCCGGCUGGUUAUUGA
rnacentral:rRNA from 1 species